rnacentral:lncRNA from 1 species
GUAAGUUGACUGAUGUUAUUUAUCCAACCCUUAUGUUACCAGGUAAGUUGACUGAUGUUAUUUAUCCAACCCUUAUGUUACCAGGUAAGUUGACUGAUGUCAUUUAUCCAACCCUUAUGUUACCAGGUAAGUUGACUGAUGUUAUUUAUCCAACCCUUAUGUUACCAGGUAAGUUGACUGAUGUUAUUUAUCUAACCCUUAUGUUACCAGGUAAGUUGACUGAUGUUAUUUAUCCAACCCUUAUGUUACCAGGUAAGUUGACUGAUGUUAUUUAUCCAACCCUUAUGUUACCAGGUAAGUUGACUGAUGUUAUUUAUCUAACCCUUAUGUUACCAGGUAAGUUGGCUGAUGUUAUUUAUCCAACCCUUAUGUUACCAGGUAAGUUGACAUGUUAUUUAUCCAACCCUUAUGUUACCAGGUAAGUUGACUGAUGUUAUUUAUCCAACCCUUAUGUUACCAGGUAAGUUGACUGAUGUUAUUUAUCUAACCCUUAUGUUACCAGGUAAGUUGACUGAUGUUAUUUAUCCAACCCUUAUGUUACCAGGUAAGUUGACUGAUGUCAUUUAUCUAACCCUUAUGUUACCAGGUAAGUUGACUGAGAUCAUAUUGUAAUUUGGGCCUACAACAACAACCAGGAAAGAGGAGAGUGGUUGAAAAGACUGAUGUGACUUUUGUACUCUCAGUUCCAUUCAAUGAGCUUUACUGGCAUGGUAAGUCAAUGAGAUGUAUUGUAAAAGAGAACUGUUGUUUCUUUUGAUGAGGCUUAAUCCCUCUCCUCUCCUCCCUUCUUUUUCCCUUCUUCUCUAUCCUCUCUCUCUCUCUCGUUCCACUGUCAAGGGCUGUCUGUCUCCCUCUAAGGCUUUUCCUCCCUCUCUCGUUCUAGUACUGAGGGAUUUGUCAGGAUGGUGAGAGCAUGACGUCAGCCCCUCCACUCCAACGCCAGCCCUGCCAUGCUGGUGCCACUCUCUGAGGAUGAUGUGACUUGUCACAGGUCAGGCAGGGGUCACCUACGGAGAGACAGGAGGGACAAACAGCACCAAGGACUCAUUGUGAGUGAUGGUAGCCAAUACAACACACAGAGGACAGGAGACAAUAUAACAACAAUCAAGUCACAUGUCUGAAAGGAACACAUCUGAGACAGCACAGUACCAUUGGGGUUGGUAGCAGUGUUUCCCAAACCUCUCCUUGAGUACCCCCAGCUGUUCCACAUUCAUUGGAUGUGUUCCAGUUUAUUUUUACCAAUGAAGGUCUUGGUGCUUAGUUGACCAGUAGAAUAGCACUGGAAUACAUCAAAUAAGUUGAACGGUUGAGGGUACUCAACGAGACAUUUGGGAAGCACUUCCCUGUGGCUCAGUGGGUAG